rnacentral:rRNA from 1 species
GAUUAUAGUGGCGCACGGGUGAGUAAUACAUAGGAACGUACCUAUAGGUGGGGAAUAACCAUUGGAAACGAUGGCUAAUACCGCAUGAAGUCGCAAGACCAAAGAGGGCCUCUUCUUGAAAGCUCUCGCCUGUAGAUCGGCUUAUGUCCCAUUAGCUUGUUGGUGAGGUAAAGGCUCACCAAGGCGACGAUGGGUAGCUGGUCUGAGAGGAUGAUCAGCCACACUGGAACUGAGACACGGUCCAGACUCC